GCCCCCAUAGCUUAGUGGUAAAGCAGCGGUUUUGUAAACCGCCGACCUCGGUUCGAUUCCGGGUAGGGGCU
rnacentral:tRNA from 1 species